CACCGUAAAACUAGCCCAAUAUCCAAAACCAAUAAACAAAUAUUUAUAAACCCUUAUACACAAAAGUUAAACAAUAAACCAUUUUUCCACCUUAGUAUGGGAGACAAAAAAGGAAUUAGGAGCAACAAAAUUAGUACCGCAAGGGAAAAGUGAAAAAGAAAUGAAAUAAAUCAAUUAAGUAUAAAAAAGCAGAGAUUAAAACUUGUACCUUUUGCAUCAUGUUUUAGCAAGAAACAAUCAAGCAAAGCGCCCUUCAGUUUGACACCCCGAAACUAAGCGAGCUACUCCAAAGCAGCUAUUAAUGAGCAAACCCGUAUCUGUGGCAAAAGAUUGGGAAGACUUUCGAGUAGAGGUGAUAAACCAACCGAGCCUAGUUAUAGCUGGUUGCCUGGGAAAUGAGUAGAAGCUCAGCGUAAUUAUUCCUCUAUUCAUUCCGAUUGUCUUAAAAAGAUCAAACGUGAGUAAUUACAGCUAAUCAAACAAGGUACAGCUUGUUUGAUAAAAGAAACAACUUUAUUAGGAGGUUAAAGACCAUAAUUUAAAAGGCCUUAGUGUUCUAGUGGGCUUAAAAGCAGCCAUCUAGAUAGAAAGCGUUAAAGCUCAAACACUUUGCAACUAUAUAUACCGCCAAAUAUUCUUCAUCCCCUAAACAUACCAGGCCUUCCUAAACCAUUAGGAGAGACAAUGCUAAUAUGAGUAAUAAGAGAAAUGGUUCUCUCUUUGCCCAAGUGUACUUCGGAUCGAACCCCCACCGAAAAUUAACGGUCCCAACAAAAGAGGGAAAUGUAAAUUAAUGAAAAAGCAAGAAAAACAAACACCGAUAAACCGUUAACCCCACACUGGAGUGCUUACAAAGAAAGACUAAAAGGAGAAGAAGGAACUCGGCAAGCACAAGCCUCGCCUGUUUACCAAAAACACCGCCUCUUGCAUUAUAUGUAUAAGAGGUCCCGCCUGCCCUGUGACUAUAUGUUUAACGGCCGCGGUAUUUUGACCGUGCAAAGGUAGCGCAAUCACUUGUCUUUUAAAUAAAGACCUGUAUGAAUGGCAUAACGAGGGCUUAACUGUCUCCUUCUCCCGGUCAAUGAAAUUGAUCUCCCCGUGCAGAAGCGGGGAUAUUAUUAUAAGACGAGAAGACCCUGUGGAGCUUUAAAUAAUGAGAGAUUUUAUGCAAUUAACCUAAAAAGAGUAGAAGCAAAUUUACCCUCUCUCUGAUAUUUUUGGUUGGGGCGACCGCGGAGUAAAGAGAAACCUCCGUGAGGAAUGAGGUAACUAACCUUAAAUCCCAGAACGACAAUUCAAAGAAGCAAAAUUUUUGACCUAAAGAUCCGGCAAAGCCGAUCAACGAACCUAGUUACCCCAGGGAUAACAGCGCAAUCCCCUUCAAGAGUCCCUAUCGACAAGGGGGUUUACGACCUCGAUGUUGGAUCAGGAUAUCCUAAUGGUGUAGCCGCUAUUAAGGGUUCGUUUGUUCAACGAUUAAAAUCCUACGUGAUCUGAGUUCAGACCGGAGUAAUCCAGGUCAGUUUCUAUCUAUAGUACCCCUUUUUCUAGUACGAAAGGACCGAGAAAGGAGGGCCCAUGCCUAAGGUAAGCCCUACCCCCACCCAUUGAAAUAUCUUAAAUGGAUAAGGGGGUUUAAAAUAAACCCGUAAAUAACUGUAA
rnacentral:rRNA from 1 species